GAUGAACGCUAGCGACAGGCUUAACACAUGCAAGUCGAGGGGCAGCACAGGUAGCAAUACCGGGUGGCGACCGGCGCACGGGUGAGUAACGCGUAUGCAACUUACCUAUCAGAGGGGGAUAACCCGGCGAAAGUCGGACUAAUACCGCAUAAAGCAGGGAUCCCGCAUGGGAAUAUUUGCUAAAGAUUCAUCGCUGAUAGAUAGGCAUGCGUUCCAUUAGGCAGUUGGCGGGGUAACGGCCCACCAAACCGACGAUGGAUAGGGGUUCUGAGAGGAAGGUCCCCCACAUUGGUACUGAGACACGGACCAAACUCCUACGGGAGGCAGCAGUGAGGAAUAUUGGUCAAUGGGCGUAAGCCUGAACCAGCCAAGUCGCGUGAGGGAUGAAGGUUCUAUGGAUCGUAAACCUCUUUUAUAAGGGAAUAAAGUGCGGGACGUGUCCCGUUUUGUAUGUACCUUAUGAAUAAGGAUCGGCUAACUCCGUGCCAGCAGCCGCGGUAAUACGGAGGAUCCGAGCGUUAUCCGGAUUUAUUGGGUUUAAAGGGUGCGUAGGCGGCCUUUUAAGUCAGCGGUGAAAGUCUGUGGCUCAACCAUAGAAUUGCCGUUGAAACUGGGAGGCUUGAGUAUGUUUGAGGCAGGCGGAAUGCGUGGUGUAGCGGUGAAAUGCUUAGAUAUCACGCAGAACCCCGAUUGCGAAGGCAGCCUGCCAAGCCAUGACUGACGCUGAUGCACGAAAGCGUGGGGAUCAAACAGGAUUAGAUACCCUGGUAGUCCACGCAGUAAACGAUGAUCACUAGCUGUUUGCGAUACACAGUAAGCGGCACAGCGAAAGCGUUAAGUGAUCCACCUGGGGAGUACGCCGGCAACGGUGAAACUCAAAGGAAUUGACGGGGGCCCGCACAAGCGGAGGAACAUGUGGUUUAAUUCGAUGAUACGCGAGGAACCUUACCCGGGUUUGAACGCAUUCGGACCGAGGUGGAAACACCUUUUCUAGCAAUAGCCGUUUGCGAGGUGCUGCAUGGUUGUCGUCAGCUCGUGCCGUGAGGUGUCGGCUUAAGUGCCAUAACGAGCGCAACCCUUGCCACUAGUUACUAACAGGUGAUGCUGAGGACUCUGGUGGGACUGCCAGCGUAAGCUGCGAGGAAGGCGGGGAUGACGUCAAAUCAGCACGGCCCUUACAUCCGGGGCGACACACGUGUUACAAUGGCGUGGACAAAGGGAAGCCACCUGGCGACAGGGAGCGAAUCCCCAAACCACGUCUCAGUUCGGAUCGGAGUCUGCAACCCGACUCCGUGAAGCUGGAUUCGCUAGUAAUCGCGCAUCAGCCAUGGCGCGGUGAAUACGUUCCCGGGCCU
rnacentral:rRNA from 1 species